GGGUUAUCUCAAAGUAGGCUUGGGACUCCAUUUUGUUUUUAACAGAAGAGCCAGAAAUAGAGACUGGUGUUUGAAAGAUCUGCGCAUUUGACAGGAAAAAAGAGAGAAAAUAAUCCAUCCAGCAUUAUGGGAAAGGAUCCAGCAUUUUUGGAUCUUGUACCACGCGAGAGACUGAAGCUCAUCUUUGGACGCGCAUGAGGAUAUCUGCAAGUUAUUAGUGCCCCCGCAUCCUGACCCUGCGCAGCUUUCUCAUGUGACUUUGUUGAGGUUUGGCACAUGCUUGUUUCUAACCUGCUCUGAGGACAGAAAAGAAGUAAAGCCAUAUUAGGCAGAUGAUGGGCGCGGCCAGAGCUUGAUUGACAGCUCCCAGGUGGACCUGGCGGUCUAGGCGAGC